rnacentral:rRNA from 1 species
GAUGAACGCUGGCGGCGUGCCUAACACAUGCAAGUCGAACGGAAAGACGAUGAUUUUGCUCUUUUUACGUUAGCGGCGCGCGGGUGUGUAACAUGUGUAUAACCCACCUUUAUGUCUGGGAUCACCUCGUGAAACCGGCUCCUAACCCCGAUUAUCUACUGAAGCCCAUUGUUCGUUAGUUACAGGCGGCUUUGCUUUCUCUGCUCGCUGCUUCCGCGCCGGAUUAGCUAGUGGGUCAGGUAACGGCUUACCAAGGCCAUGAUGCGUAGCCGAACUGAGAGGGUGAUCGGCCACACUGGAACUGAGACACGGUCCAGACUCCUACGGGAGGCAGCAGUAGGGAAUGUUGCGCAAUGGGCGAAAGCCUGACGGAGCAACGCCGCGUGUGUGAAGAAGGCCUUCGGAUCGUAAAGAACUGUUAGUGGGGAGGAACAGAUUUGGAAGUAAAUAUGCACGGAUUGACGGUACCUGAUCAAGAAGCACCGGCUAACUACGUG